rnacentral:tRNA from 1 species
UACAUACUAGCUCAUUUGGUAGAGCACUCGAUUUUUAAUCGAUUGGUAGCGGGUUCAAAUCUCGCGUAUG